rnacentral:rRNA from 15 species
GCUUACGGCCAUACCACCCUGAAUGCGCCCGAUCUCGUCCGAUCUCGGAAGCUAAGCAGGGUCGGGCCUGGUUAGUACUUGGAUGGGAGACCGCCUGGGAAUACCAGGUGCUGUAAGCC